GUGGCUGCGGUUACUACCGAUUGCGAUUGCGGAAUGCAACAAGGUGAGAGGAAAGCCAGGUCAGAAUUCGUGAAGUCCGGCUGGGACCACACCCGCAUACACACGUGCAAUGCACCGCCCGCGCGCACAUACAUACAUAUAUACAUACACACACAUACAUACACACAUACAUACACACAUGCAUGUGCAAUACGCAGCACGCGCGUGCACAUACAUGCAUACAUACACGAACACACGCACACUCGCGAUUCUGAAGUCCCCCUACGACAAAUGACAUUCCUUUCGUCGUUGGAAUUAUAUAUAUAUAAAUUUUAAAAAAAAAAUUUUUUUUUCGAGACAGGAUUUCUCUGUGUAGCCCUGGCUGUCCUGGAACUCUGUAGCCUCAGAAAUCCGCCUGCCUCUGCCUCCCGAGUGCUGAGAUUAAAGGCGUGUACCACCACC
rnacentral:lncRNA from 1 species